rnacentral:lncRNA from 1 species
GAGAAGAGCACAAAGAAAAAAAAAAAGAGGAAGCCAUGGUGGGGUGGUCUGAAGUCAAAUGGCGACUAAGGUAUGGUGGGUUUAUUUUUGGAGAGAAAGAAAAAAGAUUCCAUGAGUGGAGGGAGAAGAUGACACCAACAACGUUAGUAACGUUGAUGAUUAUUGCGACGAUGGUUGAUGAUGGCACAUACAAUAAAGAUUUGGUAUGUGGCUGAAGAUGGGAUGUGAGAAUGAAAAAAUUAAUGGUCAAGGUAUCCUCAAUAGUCAUUAAUGCUCCACAUUUAAAAAGAAAUCAUUCAAAAAAUACUAUUCAACAAGUGUGAGCACACAUAAUUGUUUAUGUGGAAUAUCUUUUGUCAAGUGAGACAAAAUUUAACAUCAUUAGAAAG